AAGGCUUUAACUUAAAUUAAAGUGUCUGGUUUGCGUCCAGGAGAUGUGGGAUAAACAAUCUGCAAGUCUU
rnacentral:tRNA from 1 species